UACGUAGGGUGCGAGCGUUGUCCGGAAUUAUUGGGCGUAAAGAGCUUGUAGGCGGUUUGUCGCGUCUGCCGUGAAAAUUCGAGGCUCAACCUCGAACUUGCGGUGGGUACGGGCAGACUAGAGUGUGGUAGGGGAGACUGGAAUUCCUGGUGUAGCGGUGAAAUGCGCAGAUAUCAGGAGGAACACCGAUGGCGAAGGCAGGGUCUCUGGGCAUUAACUGACGCUGAGGAGCGAAAGCAUGGGGAGCGAACAGG
rnacentral:rRNA from 1 species